AGUUUGAUCAUGCUCAGGAUGAACGCUAGCGGGAGGCCUAACACAUGCAAGCCGAGCGGUAGAGAUUCUUCGGAAUCUUGAGAGCGGCGUACGGGUGCGGAACACGUGUGCAACCUACCUUUAUCUGGAGGAUAGCCUUUCGAAAGGAAGAUUAAUACUCCAUAAUGUAUUGAUUGGCAUCAAUUGAUAUUGAAAGCUCCGGCGGAUAGAGAUGGGCACGCGCAAGAUUAGUUAGUUGGUGAGGUAACGGCUCACCAAGACGAUGAUCUUUAGGGGCCUGAGAGGGUGAUCCCCCACACUGGUACUGAGACACGGACCAGACUCCUACGGGAGGCAGCAGUGAGGAAUAUUGGUCAAUGGGUGCAAGCCUGAACCAGCCAUCCCGCGUGAAGGACGACUGCCCUAUGGGUUGUAAACUUCUUUUGUAUAGGGAUAAACCUACCCUCGUGAGGGUAGCUGAAGGUACUAUACGAAUAAGCACCGGCUAACUCCGUG
rnacentral:rRNA from 1 species